rnacentral:rRNA from 1 species
AGUUUGAUCAUGGCUCAGAUUGAACGCUGGCGGCAUGCCUUACACAUGCAAGUCGAACGGCAGCACGGGAGCUUGCUCCUGGUGGCGAGUGGCGAACGGGUGAGUAAUGCAUCGGAACGUGCCCUGAAGUGGGGAUAACGUAGCGAAAGUUACGCUAAUACCGCAUAUUCUGUGAGCAGGAAAGCAGGGGAUCUUCGGACCUUGCGCUUUUGGAGCGGCCGAUGUCGGAUUAGCUAGUUGGUGGGGUAAAGGCCCACCAAGGCGACGAUCCGUAGCGGGUCUGAGAGGAUGAUCCGCCACACUGGAACUGAGACACGGUCCAGACUCCUACGGGAGGCAGCAGUGGGGAAUUUUGGACAAUGGGCGCAAGCCUGAUCCAGCCAUGCCGCGUGAGUGAAGAAGGCCUUCGGGUUGUAAAGCUCUUUCGGCGGGGAAGAAAUUGCUUGGGUUAAUACCCUGAGUAGAUGACGGUACCCGCAUAAGAAGCACCGGCUAACUACGUG